CAAUACGAAAGUUGUUUGGAUUGAUGAGAUCUAUAUGUGUACCGAGUUUCAUACGUCUACGUGCAAGUAUGUAUGAUAUAUGGCCCUCCAUAUUCCAGGGGGCGCUGUAGAGCCCCAGUGCCACGCCCGUGUAUCAGUCUCUGCCCGGCCCUAAUGGCCGCAGGUUCCAAUGUGUGUGCCAAUUUUCAAGACUUUUUAAGCAUGUUAAGGUCCCCAAAAGCCCCGGAGACGUUGGAAAAAAAUAAUAAGAAUAAGAAAUAUAGCUGCAAGCAGCGAUGGCGGGCUCAAGCCAUCAGUGCAAACGCCACCCCGGUGGCAUCAGGUAAACUGUGCCCAGCGGGCACAUGCAUUUACAGUAAUCCUCUGGCACUCAGGUUUUAAGGGAUACGGCAAUUAACGGGUUAAUCCGAAGCAUCAAGACUUUGAAAUCACAUACACAGAACAAUAUUCAUUAAGAAAGUGAAAUUAAAUGAUUAAUAAACUAUUUAUUCGAACCCUCG
ensembl:lncRNA